rnacentral:rRNA from 1 species
GGUACGGAUCUAGGAAAGGUAGAAGGACUUACUCUUUCGGAGUGAGAGCGUACACAGGUGCUGCAUGGCUGUCGUCAGCUCGUGUCGUGAGAUGUUGGGUUAAGUCCCGCAACGAGCGCAACCCUGCAUUCAGUUGCCAUCGGUAAGGCCGGGCACUCUGGAUGGACUGCCGGCGACAAGCCGGAGGAAGGUGGGGACGACGUCAAGUCAUCAUGGCCCUUAUGUCCAGGGCGACACACGUGCUACAAUGGCCGGCACAACGGGAAGCGAAGGGGCGACCCUGAGCGGAUCCCACAAAAGCCGGUCUCAGUUCGGAUUGCAGUCUGCAACUCGACUGCAUGAAGUUGGAAUCGCUAGUAAUCGUGGAUCAGCCAAGCCGCGGUGAAUACGUUCCCGGGCCUU